CGGGGCCAUGUGGGCGGCGGCGGCGGCGGCGCGGGGGCUCCGCGGGGCCCGGCUCAGCUCCUGGCUGCCCCAGAGGGGCCCGCUCCGAGGGAGUCACUGGCAGAGCUCAUUGCUGGAGUCCAGGACAUCCCUCCCUGUGAG